GCCAAUCUUGUCAUCAAAGGUAGGUGGAGAAGAAGAUGAGCAAGCUCAAACAAGGUUCAUGUGGACAAACUCUUUCCUAGAAAUCAAAAGUUUGUAGUGCUUUUUGGAAAUUAUUCUAUAUGCUUAUAUCUAUGUUAUUUAGUCAUAUAGAAUUCUAUCAGUCCGCUCUGAUUAGCUUCCCGAAUCGUCAUACAAGAUUAGAUUUCCAAGAAGAAGCCAGCAACUUACCUUUGUUAUCAAAACUCAAGGUAUAAAAUUUGGUCCAUUGGUGUUUCCUAUACGAAUACAACAAAUCUCAGCUUUGCUUGUGCCUCACAACCUUUUAUUUUAGCUUGACUUAUAAAGAUUCAAAAAGUAGGCAUAAAGUUUUUUU